UCCCUGGUGGCCUAGUGGUUAAGGGUUCAGCAUUGUCACUGCUGUGGCUUGGGUUUGAUGCCUGGCCCCGGGAA
rnacentral:tRNA from 1 species